CAUGUCCUUUAGAGUUUAAUUUAAGGUCUAAUCUGCUCAAUGAUAAUUAAAUAGCCGCAGUAUUUUGACUGUGCGAAGGUAGCAUAAUAAUUAGUUUUUUUAUUGAAAGCUGGAAUGAAUGAUUGGACGAAGGAUUAACUGUCUCUUUAAAAUUUAUUUUGAAUUUAACUUUUAAGUGAAAAGGCUUAAAUUAUUUUUAAAGACGAGAAGACCCUAUAGAGUUUUACAUAUUAAUUUUAGGGAAUAUUUUGGAAUUAAUUUAUUUUCUAAUUAGUUUGUUUGGUUGGGGUGAUUAGAAGACUCAAUUAACUCUUCUAUGUUUUUUUUACUGAUUAGUAAUUUUUUUUUCUAUAAUUUUUAAGUUUAAAUUAAAUUACCUUAGGGAUAACAGCGUUAUUUUCCUUUAGAGUUCUUAUUAAUAGGAAAGUUUGCGACCUCGAUGUUGGAUUAAAGUUUGAGCUGGGCGCAGUAGCUCAUGCUGCCGAGUCUGUUCGACUCUUAGAAUUUUACAUGAUCUGAGU
rnacentral:rRNA from 1 species